rnacentral:rRNA from 1 species
UACGGGGGGAGCAAGCGUUGUUCGGAUUCAUUGGGCGUAAAGGGUGUGUAGGUGGCGCCGUAAGUCGGGUGUGAAAUUUUAGAGCUUAACUCUGAAACUGCAUUCGAUACUGCGGUGCUUGAGGACUGGAGAGGAGACUGGAAUUUACGGUGUAGCAGUGAAAUGCGUAGAUAUCGUAAGGAAGACCAGUGGCGAAGGCGGGUCUCUGGACAGUUCCUGACACUGAGACACGAAGGCCAGGGGAGCAAACAGG